CAGUUUCCUGUUCCCUUUCCUUUUCUCUAGUAAGAGCUCUGCUAGGGUACAAUGAACCUCCCACUUCGAGCUAGCUAAGUUUGAUCUGCUUCCAACUCACUACUUUCGUUCUUAGAGCUGUGGUGCCCUUUAGUUGCAGACCUGUUGCGUUUGCUAGCGUCUAAAAAGAUGGGGAAAUAUUGAAGGUAGACCUGAUGGUGGCAGCGGUGCAGUUUAUAUGGCCUAUUGUAUGUGGCUCUUAGGAGCAGUUUUAAGGCCCUGGUGCCUUUGUAAUUCCGUGCUUUAGGAGCAACCCUUUUGUAAACUGUUAAACCUCCUUGAGAUUAUGUUCUCCUCAUGUCAUCUUUGGUGUGCCUUAGCAUUUUUUUUAAGCACUUUCUUGGAUGACUGUACUAGUGGAUCC